rnacentral:rRNA from 1 species
AUGGCGUCGCCACAAGAAUCCAAACCCUUGUGCUUGAAGCGCAAGCUUGUCGACAACUGCCUGUCAAAAGAGUGCAAGUCUCGUCGAGUCGUGGUUGACAAUGGACCCUCUGAUCCAUCUGCUAAACGGUGCAAGUGCUGUUGCACGCGACCUAAUCUUGCCAGUGAUUGUGUCAAUUAUCUGAAAAGUGGAGUUCCCAGCCGUAUCGUGUUUUACAAACAAGAUUCUUGGCACAAUUUUCCUGAGCUAAUAAUGAAGUCCCUGAUUGAAGGAUUUAAAGGUGGCAAAUCUAGUGUUGUGGCUGUGAUGGAUGAUGAGCCUGUUCUUGUUGAUUUCUUGUCAAUGAGUCUUGUCAACCUACAAACAAGAAAACAGCGAUCUGUUGCAUGGUAUGAUGAUACUGGAAAGGGCUUUUUUCCUUCUCUGUUCUUUGAUGAGGAAGGUGAUGAAACGGCCAAUUUGGACUCUAGUAAUGUUGAGGAUGGUGCACAGGGAAUAAUGCUGGAUAAGGCUGUAAGUUCUCCAGAGGAAGUGGUGAAGCAAGUUGUUCUUGAAUCUGGCCCUCCGGGGCCACAUAAACCUUCCACUGCAGACAUAUUACGUAAAAAGAUCACAUCUGUGGAAAGAGGAAGCGAAGACUUUUUGCUUGUUCAGGACCUUUUUCUCUCUGGUAUGGGUCCGUUUGCAACACCGAAUAACAUACUUCAUAUCCACCGCUACUCCCCGAAUGAUAUCACUGCUCAGUGUCGACUUCAAGCUUUUGAAAAACAAAUGAGCUGCACCAAAGAAGAUCGUGGUGAUUCAAAUGUAAGAUAUGGAUGGCUGGGUUCUACAAAGAGUGACAUAGUUAGGAUUCUAAUUAAUGGGUUUGGUAACACCGGAAAACCUGCUGAGAAGGCAUGCUUGAGCGCUGGUGUUUAUCUUUCACCAGAAGAUCGAGCCUUUACCAGUGUCGGUCUUUGUGAUGUUGACGAAAAAGCGGUGCAGUAUAUGUUAUUGUGCCGAGUGAUAUUGGGCAACAUGGAAGCUAUCACGCCUGGAUCACAAGAUUCUUUUCCAAGCAGCGAGAUAUAUGAUUCUGGAGUUGAUGAUUGCUCCAACCCAAAGUGUUAUGUUAUGUGGCCAUCCCAUCUUAACACUCACAUCCGUUUAGAAUAUCUUGUUAGUUUCAGACUUUCACCAAAAGUUCGAAAUUACUUACUUGGUUUGAAGGGUUUAUGGUUUCACCCAUCACCAAAGGAAGUUGCUAUGGAUAUUUCUACUCUUCAACCUAUAAUGGGUGAAACUGGUGAAGCACCAACAUCCCCAUGGAUAUCCUUCAGAGUUCUGUUUGCAAUGAUCCAAGACCAUAUAUCAUCUGUAGCAAAGGAACUGCUCUUCCAUCAUUAUGAAGAGCUGAAGGAAAACGAAAUAAGUCGUGAAGAAAUGGUGAAGAAGAUGAUAAUAAUAGUCGGAGAAAAGUUACUUUUGGAAACUUUAAAGAAACUCCAUUACUGUCCAUCACUAUGGCAUAAAUCUUCUGUCGAAGUGAUGUCCAGUGAUCCUGCAAGGGUAGCAGCAGAAGAUCCUGCAAGGACAACAGAAGAACACAUAUCCUUGGAUAAAACAACUGGGCAUUGUGCACUAACUCUUGGUAACCUUGGCGAUUCCUGUGGACCAAAUACAUUGGCUGAAAGUUCCACAGCUCUUAGCACCAAAGGAUGUGAUACUCUUGCAGUAGCUACGGUGCCCAAAAGCCAUGAUUCUGUCGCACCAAGCAGUGUGCCUGAAACAUCUACUUCUUCUGGUGCCAUAUGCCUAGCUUCCCCAAGUGUGAAACCCAAAAGUAGGGAUUCUCCUAUACGAAUAAUGUCACCUGAAAGCUCUGCAAAUCAUGGUGCCAAAAAUCAGGAUCCUUCUGCAGCUAGAAUGGCACCUACACUUCAUAACGUCCUUCUGAGGACAGCUUCUGGAAAAUCUGCAUCUCAUGGUUAUGCUUCUCCAGCACCAAGUAAUGCCUCAAAAGGCCGUGGGAUUAGUGCUCCAGGACUCAGUCUGAAGGGCUCUGAAUGUCCUGGGCCAGUUUUGGCACUGGGAAGCACCAAAUUCAGAGGGAUGAAAAGUCCCAGCUCUGUGCCAAGAAUGACACCUGAAGGCCCGGAAUUUCUUUCACUGAGUAUUGCGCCACAAAGCCAAGCAAUUUAUCCAACUAAGUGCCAUGGUGGUGAUUCAAUUUCUUCUGUCGCAGCUCCAGCUCAUGUGCCAGGACAUGUGAACUCUUCAGCUUUGAGCGCUGAAGGCUGCGAUUCUCUAGCACUGAGUAUCGCGCCAAACUGCCAUGAUCCUCCAGCAUCAAGCAACAACGAGCCAGCGCUCCAUGGGGCUCCAACAACACAUACAGCAUCUGAAGGCGAGCACUCUCAGGCGCCGAGUGCAGCCACCAUGGGUUAUACUGCUCCUGCACCGACAACCGGGGAGGCAGUACAAUUUGGAUCCUGCAAUAAGCCAUCAGCGCCCGUCCCUGAGCCCGGCAGCAACGUCGCUCAGGCGGCUGACAUCCUCGUCGCCCUGUCAACUCCGCGAGAGAAGGGCAAGUAG